GAGUAACAAAACACAAACAAACGCUUCUAUAACAAAAACUAAAAUAAAUACAAAUUAAGAGAGCGCAAGAAAUGGAAUUCAUUGAGCACAAACUAAUCAAUAGCGAAGUAAUUUAAUCGGCAAGCAAUAAGCAAGCGCACUAACCUCAACUAACGAUAUUGUGUUCGAAAAUAGUUGCAAAUCAAAAAUAGCGCUGUGCGGUCGGAAUUACGUUAGCCCGCAAUUUGCACAAAAUUUGGCCUGAAUAAAUUAAAAAAAAAAAAAAACGAACGACCUUGCCUUUUAACGUCUUAAGUGUUGUGGAAACAUUGAACUCUCAAUAUGGUGGCAAUUACUAAUAACAAUGAAAUUGAGCGAG
rnacentral:lncRNA from 1 species